ACGGCGACAACACACGAUGAUGGUUACGGGUUGUGACACUUCCCUUCCUAUCGAGGUUAUCGAGACCCAGCUUGAGAAAUAUUUCUCUGCAGAUGAUUCUUUUGUUUACAAAGGCGUAACCGCUUCUGGUGAUAUCAUAACCCCAGCCAGAGUUUAUGUCUUUGGACACGAAGGUGUAGAAAAGGCGCUGGAACUUAGUGGACGCUCUCUAGGAGGUUAGAAUUUUGUAGUUACUGUGGUUGAUCCACUUCCAAAAAUAAAACGCAGGAUUGGCUACAUUCGCCCAAAUAACUUUCCUAUCUCGACUAAGGAGCAGUUCGAAAAUCUGACUACGGCGGGAAAUCAGAAGAAGAAGAAGAACAACAAGAGCAAGAAGAAAGAGAAGAAAGAGAAGAAGAGGGGAAAUCAGAAGAAGAAGAGUGAGACGGAAAUCAGAAGAUGAAGGGAGUAGAAAUCUCUUUCUGACAUGCUUUUUUUUUUAUCAAAAUCUGGCUAUUCCUGUAAUGGAUCAAAAUCCAAUCUUAAACUUAGUGUUGAAGUCCAUUGGCUCUAUCAACCUCUGUAAUUCCUCUUUUCUACGAUGCUUCUCUCCUGAAUGAUAAAAACCCAUCAUCAGUCUCAAUCUAUCUAACACCUGCUUCUCUCUUUAAGCCAUUGUCUCCCAUAGCCUGGCUAGCAGCAGCAUC